GUGGCCAGCGCGUAAUGGCGGGAACUCAUAGGAGACUGCCGGGGUCAACUCGGAGGAAGGUGGGGAUGUACGUCAAAUCAUCAUGCCCCUUAUGUCUUGGGCUUCACGCAUGCUACAAUGGCCGGUACAAAGGGCUGCAAUACCGUAAAGUGGAGCGUAAUCCCAAAAAGCCGGUCUCAGUUCGGAUUGAGGUCUGCAACUCGACCUCAUUAAGUCGGAGUCGCUAGUAAUCGCAGAUCAGCAACGCUGCGGUGAAUACAUUCCCUGGGCCUUGUACACUACCGCCCGUCAAGUCAUGAAAGUCGGUAGCGCCCGAAGCCGGUGGCCCAACCCUUGUGGAGGGAGCCGUCGAAGGUGGGAUCGGUGAUUAAGACUAAUUCGUACCAAGGUAGCCGUACCGGAA
rnacentral:rRNA from 1 species